rnacentral:rRNA from 1 species
UACGAAGGGGGCUAGCGUUGUUCGGAAUUACUGGGCGUAAAGCGCACGUAGGCGGACAUUUAAGUCAGGGGUGAAAUCCCGGAGCUCAACUCCGGAACUGCCUUUGAUACUGGGCGUCUUGAGUGUGGAAGAGGUGAGUGGAAUUCCGAGUGUAGAGGUGAAAUGCGUAGAUAUCCGGAGGAACACCGGUGGCGAAGGCGGCUUCCUGGACCGACACUGACGCUGAGGCGCGAAAGCUAGGGGAGCAAACGGG